CAUCUUGAGCCAAUAUUUUUAAAGAAAGUAGCUUAAUCGUAGCCUGACUACGUCGGACUUCGUACUUCCGCCCAAUUUCAGUUCGCUUCUGUACUCGGUCUGAUAUAGCAAACCAGCUCCCAGAUUAUUUCCGGCUCCGCAGCAGCCGGCCAACCAACAAACAGAGGGUGGGCUGAGAGCCGUGACCUAGACGCUAAGCGCUGAAUUUAAGAUUGUAGUUUAGGUUAGUGAAAUCUAAAACGACAGCGGACAUGGAGACACGGGAUGCUAUUCGCUCUGUUGUGGAGAAUAUUCCUGGCAUUUUCCAAUUGAAGCCUGAACAAGAAGAGUGUUUGAUUCACAUUUUGAAUGGAGGUGAUGUUGUGGCCCUACUCCCGACAGGUUUUGGGAAAAGUUUAAUUUAUCAACUGUUACCGAUCGUCAGCGAGAAACUGGGAAGCCAAAGCAAGGCGAUAAUUGUGGAUGCGUAGAUUUACUUCACAUAAUCUGCAAAAGUCAUUCACAGCCAUCUUCACUCCGGUAUUUCACUCUAUGGUUUUGUUUUCGCCGAAUACCUGUGUUUACAGUGGAAGUUCGAGGUGGCUGAGCUGGCACAUAACAUACAUCAUAACCAAACGUUAUGUGAUUGGCUUACGGGUACACCAAUGAUUUUAAACUUCAGACAAGCGCCCCCAUGAGAAAGUAAACGCUUGUCAAUUAUGCCCUUCCAGACUCUGUCUACGAAGCAAAGCGAAGUAGCAGAGUUUGGUAUUACCAGGCUAGCUUAAUCGAUUGAGUCAUAAAAUCUUUGUAUUAUUCAGUGAUGCUACACUCUAAAAAAAAUAUGGUUCUUCAGUGGUUCUUUGGGGAGGUUGAGGUGCUAUACACCAUUACCGUAUAAAGAACCUGUUAAUCCCCUGUAUGGUUCUUCAGUGGUUCUUUGGGGUGGUUAAGGUGCUAUAUAGCACCACUGCUGUACAUUAAGAAGCCAUUAAGCCAGCCAUUAAGUUUUUUAAGUGCGUUUGCACUUCGAUGGGAUUAAUGCAGAACACAAAUUCCAAGUAUGGGUUACCAUACUUGCCCACACCUCAUUUCAUUAUACUCCAAAUUUUGUAAUUGCAGUAAAUUAAACUUAAUUUAGUAAUUGUACAUCAGAUUUAAAUUUAUUAUAUAUAUAUAUAUAUAUACACACACACACACACACACACACACACACACAAUCUUGUUUUAUUUAAUGAACACACACAAAAUAAAAUGUCUCUGUAACACAUUUACACAUACCAUAUAAAAGUAAAAUCAGUAAAGAGUUAAAGCUCUGGUGUUGAAUUAUCCACAAGUUUUGUUUUUUUCCCCCCUCAAAUUUCAGACCCAUCACCUAUGUAAGUUUAAUUUGACUUCCAGUACAAUAGGUGGCGAUGCUCUUAAAGGUCCCAUGACAUGCUGCUUUUUGGAUGCUUUUAUAUAGGCCUAAGUGGUCCCUAAUACUGUAUCUGAAGUCUGUUUCCCGAAAUUCAGCCUUAGUGCAGAAUUUCAGCCACUAUGAGCCAGUCCCACAAUGAGCUUUCCUUAGGACGUGCCAUUUCUGUGUCUGUAGCUUUAAGGACGAGAGAGGCGGGGCAAGGUGGAGGGUGGGGGUGUGGCCUUAACCAGCUUGCGCUACCAUGCGCUAAUGUUGACAGUGGAUGUAUCAGGAUGGCUCAUAGACACGCAGUCAUUCAAGCUUUUCAGUUUGACCCAGAAUCUGAUCCGGAUGGAGAAGCACCGGAUGAAGAAGUUGCAACUCAGCGGCUACAGCAGGACGUCUCCUAAUGGUUAGUUUAAAAUAUUGUGUCUGGAUACAGAACUUUAGUUGGUUUGUUACAGUCAUGGGCGUCGCUAGGCCAUUUUUAGGGGGGCUUUAGCACCCCUAAAUUUCUGCUCAGCCCCCCUAAAAAAUCUUGUGAUUCUUUCCCUUUAAAUUUCAAAUGAAACGGCAGCAGACUUCAGCUCCUCCCCAUCUUUCUGCGCGUUCUUCAAUCCACAGACUGCGGUGGCGCAGAGGAGAGGACAAGGUGUGUGUUUAUCGAUAGAUUGUUAUAAUAUCUACAUCUAUGCAGUUCUUUGUCAUAAAUACAGUUUACAAAAAGUCAUGGGAGAGCAAUCGGUUUCCAAUCUACUGUAAAGUUUUCGCUGCAUUCACCACUCAUCACACCACAGCUGUUUCCUUCAGCGAAAGCCCUUAACACAUAUGAACGCAUACUUUAUAAAACAAUCACGUUAUUGCUAUUUUCAUUUGAAAAUGUAGCUUUCAAUAUAGAACAUAAUAUUACAGUGCAUGUGGCAUUAACUACCAUACAGUUAUGCAUAGAAAAUGAUUAAAGACAGUGACCGACAGCACUCAGUCAGUGCACUCAUUUUAAUUGCAUAUCAGAGUGAUUGACAGAUAUUGAAACAUUGUGUGUGUGUGUGUGUGUGUGUGUUGUAUUCAUUUUUUUAAUAUAUUUUUUAUUGUUUGAAUUGAAUUGAUGUAGAACGGUUCUACAAUUUUUUUGUACAAAUUUUCAAUCAAUUUUUUUGUAAAUAAUAAUAAAAAAUAAUAAAAUUUAUUAUUAUACCCUCAUUGGGGGCUGAGCCCCCCUAAAAUGAAAAUCCUAGAAUCGUCCCUGGUUACAGUUAUUAUCAUGUAGCUAAAGCUAGCCAUAGGCUUGGAUGAAGGAACUAAAAAAAUACUUUGGUGUUCAUUUGUACAUCCAAACACUGAGCAACUGCCAUGCUUCCCUGGUUUGCAAACCAUGAUGUCUCUCAAGGAAAAAAAAAAAUAUUGCGCUGGCCUCGCACGGUAGUAGCUCAUUUUCUCAUGGGCGGGCAAAGCAGAGAAAGGGGAGGUAACCUUUCCCCGUAUGACGACAUAAAGGGAAGAUUCCAGAUUGGGCAUCUGAGCUUUCAUUUUCUCAAAGACGAAGCAGGAGACCCAGGGCUCGGUUUACACCUAUCGCCAUUUCUAGCCACUGGGGGACCAUAGUCAGGCUAGGGGAACUCAUGUUAAUGUUAAAAAACCUCAUAAAGUGAAAUUUUCAUGCCAUGGGACCUUUAAGUAGUUAUUCCAUUAAACAAGAAGAAGGUGUUACAUCCGGGACAUUUACGUACUUUGCGCGUCUAAACGGGCUGAAAUUUUUCUCACCGUCGCCAUUUUCUUUGACCCGCGAAUCGCGAUGCGGAGCAAACGAGGACGGAAAAUACAGAGAAGUGUUUUAUGUUAUUCACACAGUUUUAUAACAUCACAUUGUUUUAGAAGGAUAUUUCUGUGCUGUGUGGGCUCGCGGUGCGGAGCUGACGAGGAGGUUUUUUAACCGAGAGAGCACUGAAAGUAAGUGUUUAGUCUCAUUUACAUAUGUAUUUUAUGACGUUAUAUUAUUUUAUAACGAUAUUUUUUGUGCUGUGCAGUCCUAAACUUUUCUCAUAGACAUAAUUUUCUUUGACAAGUGAUACCGAGAAGACCGAGAAGAUAUAAUUUUUGGAAAAAAACAAAAAGAGACGUUUACUUUGAUUCAUGAUGCGGAGCAAGCAGAGGUUACUGUUAUCAACUAGAGACCUAAAUCGCCGCUCGUCUUCCCGCUCUAGCCUGUGGAUGAUGCGUGGGAGUUUGGCAGGAUCACCGCGAGUUCACCAGCCGCUUCGAAGUCAGCCCGCUGAUCGCGGCUCUCUCCAGCCCGCCGGCUGCGACUCACUCAAGUCCAUGGAGACUCGUCUGGGGCUAUUCCCAGCCGCCUGCCUCUCCUGUCACUGAAAUGGAAGCGGUUCCUGAGUUAACCCUGUGAGGGCCCCUGACUCCACGUUCAGCCCAAGGAGGGCUGUGGAUCUUCCGUCAUGCCCAGUAAAGGACCUCAGAUUCCGAGCCUAGCCCAGUGUGGGCUCCUGUUCCUGUGGAUAGUCCGGUUCCUGUGUUUAGCCCACAGAGGGCUUCCUGUUCCUGUGUUGAGCUCACGGAGGGCCCCGGAGCCCAUUGGGGGGGGUUAGUAGGGUUCUGUCUGUAGUGGCCAGGCCGAGGGGACUGAGGCCACAGCCAUGAAGACCACCUGCCAUGGCCCCCUGUGCUCCCAGCACCGCCAUAGCGCCCCGAACUGUCUGUUCCACUCUGUGUGUGUAAUUAUCCAGUGUAUAUUAGUUCUUGCCCGUUCAGUUCCUUUUCGUCUGGUCUACUCGUUACUCCCGGUGUUCCUGUGUGUCUGCCCUGCUUUGCCUUGUCUUGGCUUUGUUGGAUUUUCAUUAAAGACUGUUAUUUUGAAAGCUUUCCUCAUCUCCUUGCUUCCCUCCUGUGUGUGCACCAUGACAUUUACAGUAUACUCAAACUUUCUAUAUUGAGUGAGUUAAAAAAAAAAAAAUUAAGCUUUUUUUUUUUUUUUUGUCAUCUCACAAGAUGCGACACAUGACUUACAUAAGCUACUUUUAACAAGUUUUUGUGGGUGCUUUUUUUUUA